rnacentral:rRNA from 1 species
CCUACGGGGGGCAGCAGUGAGGAAUAUUGGUCAAUGGGCGGGAGCCUGAACCAGCCAAGUCGCGUGAGGGAAGACGGUCCUAUGGAUUGUAAACCUCUUUAGGCGGGGAGCAAUGCCGGGCACGUGUGCCCGGAGGGAGAGUACCCGCAGAAUAAGCAUCGGCUAACUCCGUGCCAGCAGCCGCGGUAAUACGGAGGAUGCGAGCGUUAUCCGGAUUUAUUGGGUUUAAAGGGUGCGUAGGCGGUUUUUUAAGUCAGCGGUAAAAUGUCCGGGCUCAACCCGGCCCGGCCGUUGAAACUGGGGAGCUUGAGUGGGCGUGAAGUAUGCGGAAUGCGUGGUGUAGCGGUGAAAUGCAUAGAUAUCACGCAGAACUCCGAUUGCGAAGGCAGCAUACCGGCGCCCGACUGACGCUGAGGCACGAAAGCGUGGGGAUCGAACAGGAUUAGAUACCCUAGUAGUC